rnacentral:misc_RNA from 1 species
GUUUUAAUAUAGUUACACACAUAUAGUGCGUUCUCUUUUAUUUCAUGUACAUGGUGUGUGUGUGUGAAAAAUGCAGACAAGCGGGCCCUUAGAAAGGUCCCAAACAUGGGGUAGUUCAGGAAAGCUGCUUAUGAAGACAAACCCCCCCAACCAAGUCCCAAACAUGUCUACAAAGUGAUGCACAAGGGAGAAAAGGUGGAGAAUUUCGGAGUGCACAUGCGAAACAUGCAGCAAUUGAUUGCCAAAUGUGCCAGCACAUCCUUUUAUUCAUUUAAUGAUCCUUCCGCAGGUUCACCUACGGAAA